AAUGAACGUUGGCGGCAUGGAUUAGGCAUGCAAGUCGAGCGAGAAGUGUAGCAAUACACGGAAAGCGGCGGAAGGGAGAGUAAUACGUGGGAAUCUACCCUUAGACCUGGGAUAGCAGCGGGAAACUGCUGGUAAUACCAGAUAAUGUCUAUGGACCAAAGGUGUGAUUCCGUCUAGGGAUGAGCCCACGUCCUAUUAGCUAGUUGGUAGGGUAAUGGCCUACCAAGGCGAUGAUGGGUAGCGGGUGUGAGAGCAUGACCCGCCUCACUGGGACUGAGACACUGCCCAGACACCUACGGGUGGCUGCAGUCGAGAAUCUUCGGCAAUGGGCGCAAGCCUGACCGAGCGAUGCCGCGUGCGGGAUGAAGGCCUUCGGGUUGUAAACCGCUGUCGAGGGGGAGCAACUUCCAUAGAGUUAUCUUUAUGGAUUGAGUGAUCCCUGGAGGAAGGACGGGCUAAGUUCGUGCCAGCCGCCGCUGUAAGAC
rnacentral:rRNA from 1 species